rnacentral:rRNA from 1 species
UACGGGGGGGGCAAGCGUUGUUCGGAAUUACUGGGCGUAAAGGGCUCGUAGGUGGCCAACUAAGUCAGACGUGAAAUCCCUCGGCUUAACCGGGGAACUGCGUCUGAUACUGGAUGGCUUGAGUUUGGGAGAGGGACGCGGAAUUCCAGGUGUAGCGGUGAAAUGCGUAGAUAUCUGGAGGAACACCGGUGGCGAAGGCGGCUUUCUGGACACUAACUGACGCUGAGACGCGAAAGCGUGGGGAGCAAACAGG